UGCUGCUUGUACACCAGCAUCAGGACAGCGGAAAGUCAUGCUUAAGGUGCAGUGGUCACUGAUGGGCCCUGCACCGCCUAUAUCAACUCGUUCAGCGGCACCAUACACAUUACUUGCCAUCAACACAUGAUCUGGCCUAGACCCUCCCCCUCUCUGGCCUUGCUUCACGCAGGUACGCUGCCCAUCGUCCCCACACACCCUGCCCGUGCCCAACACACAUUCAUGAAUACUAGCCAACUCAAUUAAUAAUUUGCCAGCCAGGUUUGUCUUCCCAGACUUACUUCUACGGGCA
rnacentral:lncRNA from 1 species